GCCCGGCUGGCUCAAUCGGUAGAGCGUGAGACUCUUAAUCUCAAGGUUGUGGGUUGGACCCCCACGUCGGGCU
rnacentral:tRNA from 1 species